UAGGGUAUUGAACAGAUUUGUU
rnacentral:miRNA from 1 species